rnacentral:rRNA from 1 species
AUGCUCGAUGACAACAACAUCCUCGCAAAAACAUUCAGAAUGGCAAGAGAUAGAUUCCAAGAAGGAGACUACCAUGAUUACACACUUCGGAUACUAGGCAAAAGGAAGGGAACACACAACCUUCCAUCCGCAUCUGAAGUUGCAGCAUUGGUAGUAAGAGAUCCAACCGGAGAGAGUGAAGGACGUGACAUUGUUGUUGAGUACAAAAAUAUGGAGCCUCAAAGGAUAUCAGAGAUCCACCCAAAAUUCAUGUCCAUGCAAUAUCCGUUGUUGUUCCCAUAUGGAGAAGAUGGUUUUAAACUUGAGAUACCCUACAAGAAAACAAAAGGAGAUACAAACAGCAGGAAAUAUGUAACGCUGUUGGACUACUAUGCAUUCUACCUACAGCAACGUCCUGAUCAAGGAAUGUUACUACUCAAGUCCGGGCAUUUUUCACUGCAAUUUUGGGUGGAUGUAUACACAUGUAUCGAGCAAAAUAGACUAAACUGGAUCCGACACAAUCAAGGAAAGCUACGAACUGAACUUUACAGUGGAUUGCAGGAUGCGAUUGAGCGAGGGGACACAAGAACAGAGCAAGUUGGAAAGAGGAUAAUUGUGCCUUCAUCUUUUAUAGGUGGUAGAAGAAACAAGGCACAAUAUUUGCAAGAUGCCUUUGCAAUAUGCCGUUGGGCUGGAUACCCAGACCUAUUUAUAACAUUCACAUGCAAUGCAAAGUGGCCUGAGAUCCAAUACAUGCUAGAUGAAGCGGGAGGUGGCCAAAAGCCAGCCGAUUGGCCAGACAUUGUGGACAAAGUAUUUAUGAUCAAACUAAAGGAGCUAAUGAGAGACAUAAAAGAAAAGAAAUACUUUGGAGAAAUAGUUGCAAGUAAGUCCCAUUGA